AGUCGGCCGGGCAGCCGCUGCACCGUUGGUCGGUGUGGAGGAAAGUCCGGGCUCCAUAGGGCAGGGCGCCAGGUAACACCUGGGCGGCGCAAGCCGACGGAAAGUGCCGCAGAAAAGAUACCGCCGAUGGGCCCUGUUGGGUCACAGGUAAGGGUGAAAAGGUGUGGUAAGAGCGCACCGCGCGGGUGGUAACACCUCGCGGCACGGUAAACCCCGCCCGGAGCAAGACCAAAUAGGGGGGCGCACGUGUGGCCCGCACGGCUCCCGGGUAGGUCGCUAGAGGACCGCGGUGACGCGGUCCCCAGAGGAAUGGUUGCCUUCGACAGAACCCGGCUUAUAGGCCGGCUUC
rnacentral:RNase_P_RNA from 1 species